rnacentral:rRNA from 1 species
UACGGGGGGGGCAAGCGUUGUUCGGAAUUACUGGGCGUAAAGGGCUCGUAGGCGGCCAACUAAGUCCGACGUGAAAUCCCCAGGCUUAACCUGGGAACUGCGUCGGAUACUGGAUGGCUUGAAUUCGGGAGAGGGAUGCAGAAUUCCAGGUGUAGCGGUGAAAUGCGUAGAUAUCUGGAGGAAUACCGGUGGCGAAGGCGGCAUCCUGGACCGACAUUGACGCUGAGGAGCGAAAGCGUGGGGAGCAAACAGG